CUCACAAUCUCCACGAAAUGUUCAUAACCUGCGAGGAGAAGGAGAAUGUGUGACCCGACCCAAAGAUUUAAAGCUUGAGAAUCCAACGAGAAUGGAAGGUUACCACAAUUGAGGAAUUCAUCAUCAUCAUCAUCAUCAUCAUCAUCAUCAUCAUCAUCAUCAUCAUCAUCUUGCCUAUUAGAGAACAUGUAUUGAAAGCUUAUGAAAUGCCAGGCAUCCUUUGAAUGCUUUACAUGCAUUAUUUCAGUCAUCACAUAUUUUCUCACAAGGU
rnacentral:lncRNA from 1 species